GAUGAACGCUGGCGGCGUGCCUAAUACAUGCAAGUCGAGCGAACAGAUGAGGAGCUUGCUCCUCUGACGUUAGCGGCGGACGGGUGAGUAACACGUGGAUAACCUACCUAUAAGACUGGGAUAACUUCGGGAAACCGGAGCUAAUACCGGAUAAUAUAUUGAACCGCAUGGUUCAAUAGUGAAAGACGGUUUUGCUGUCCCUUAUAGAUGGAUCCGCGCCGCAUUAGCUAGUUGGUAAGGUAACGGCUUACCAAGGCGACGAUGCGUAGCCGACCUGAGAGAGUGAACAGCCACACUGGAACUGAGACACGGUCCAGACUCCUACGGGAGGCAGCAGUAGGGAAUCUUCCGCAAUGGGCGAAAGCCUGACGGAGCAACGCCGCGUGAGUGAUGAAGGUCUUCGGAUCGUAAAACUCUGUUGUUAGGGAAGAACAAAUGUGUAAGUAACUAUGCACGUCUUGACGGUACCUAAUCAGAAAGCCACGGCUAACUACGUG
rnacentral:rRNA from 1 species